CUGGCGGCGUGCUUACACAUGCAGUCGAGCGGUAAAGGCCCUUCGGGGUACUCGAGGCGGCGAACGGGUGAGCUAACACGUGUAGUAACCUGCCCCUGACUCUGGGUAUAAGCCUGGGCAAACUGGGUCUAAUACCGGAUACGACCAUUUCUCGCAUGGGAUGGUGGUGGAAAGUUUUUUCGGUUGGGGAUGGGCUCGCGGCCUAUCAGCUUGUUGGUGGGGUGAUGGCCUACCAAGGCGACGACGGGUAGCCGGCCUGAGAGGGCGACCGGCCACACUGGGACUGAGACACGGCCCAGACUCCUACGGGAGGCAGCAGUGGGGAAUAUUGCGCAAUGGGCGAAAGCCUGACGCAGCGACGCCGCGUGGGGGAUGACGGCCUUCGGGUUGUAAACCUCUUUCAGCAGGGACGAAGUUGACGUGUACCUGUAGAAGAAGCGCCGGCUAACUACGUGCCAGCAGCCGCGGUAAUACGUAGGGCGCGAGCGUUGUCCGGAAUUAUUGGGCGUAAAGAGCUCGUAGGUGGCUUGUUGCGUCUGCCGUGAAAGCCCGUGGCUUAACUACGGGUCUGCGGUGGAUACGGGCAGGCUAGAGGCUGGUAGGGCAAGCGGAAUUCCUGGUGUAGCGGUGAAAUGCGCAGAUAUCAGGAGGAACACCGGUGGCGAAGGCGGCUUGCUGGGCCAGUUCUGACGCUGAGGAGCGAAACG
rnacentral:rRNA from 1 species